rnacentral:rRNA from 1 species
GAACUGAAGAGUUUGAUCAUGGCUCAGAUUGAACGCUGGCGGCAGGCCUAACACAUGCAAGUCGAGCGGAUGAUAGGAGCUUGCUCCUGGAUUCAGCGGCGGACGGGUGAGUAAUGCCUAGGAAUCUGCCUGGUAGUGGGGGACAACGUUUCGAAAGGAACGCUAAUACCGCAUACGUCCUACGGGAGAAAGCAGGGGACCUUAGGGCCUUGCGCUAUCAGAUGAGCCUAGGUCGGAUUAGCUAGUUGGUGAGGUAAUGGCUCACCAAGG